UACGUAGGGUGCGAGCGUUGCCCGGAUUUAUUGGGCGUAAAGGGCGCGCAGGUGGUUCUGUGUGCUCCGCGUGAAAUCGCCCGGCUCAACCGGGCGGGGUCGCGGAUGACUACAGGACUGGAGCCUGGGAGGGGGAAGCGGAAUUCCCGGUGUAGUGGUGGAAUGCGUAGAUAUUGGGAGGAACACCAGUGGCGAAGGCGGCUCACUGGACCGGUACUGACGCUGAGGCGCGAAAGCGUGGGGAGCAAACGGG
rnacentral:rRNA from 1 species